UACGUAGGGGGCGAGCGUUGUCCGAAUUUACUGGGCGUAAAGCGCGCGUAGGCGGGCUAUUAAGUUGGGGGUGAAAAUCCGAGGCUCAACCUCGGACCUGCCUCCAAAACUGGUAGUCUUGAGGUAUGGAGAGGGAAGUGGAAUUCCUGGUGUAGCGGUGAAAUGCGUAGAGAUCAGGAGGAACACCCGUGGCGAAGGCGGCUUCCUGGCCAUAUCCUGACGCUGAGGUGCGAAAGCUAGGGGAG
rnacentral:rRNA from 1 species